UGCCCGGUGGUGUAAUGGCAACACACAAGAAUUUGGAUCUUGUUUUCCAGGUUCGAGCCCUGGCUGGGCAG
rnacentral:tRNA from 8 species